GAAAGUGGGUCAUCGUUGAUUGCUAGCAACAGCGAUGAUGAUGAUGUGACUGUCAGAACAAUUUAAUGUUUCUUUUCUCACAUCGACGAUCGUUAAGCAAAGCACAUGGUCAUCGCAAUGUGCGGACGGUAGAAACUAGCAGGUCUAUAAUUCGCAGCUAGUAGAGUGUGUGGUACUUCAGCGGUUUAAGCGAGUCGGUUUGUGGGGGCUGCCAUAUUGAUCUGGAGCACAGUCGAUGAUCAACACACCACAGGCGAGACAUAAUAAUGAUAGAGAGAGUGACAUAGUAAAACAGGAAUAAGGAGCACGAGAGAAAGGGAGCAAGUGGCACCGAGUGAAAAAUUCCACGUGGUGACAGUAGGCCUACGUUGUGACGAGUGAUGUGCGAUCACCGUGGUUACCUGCCCGCGCUCACCUUCACGUCAGACAUGAAGAUACGCCCGCGUGGGCUCUGACGGGCGAGAGAAAGUUUGGAGAAUUGCGACCGAGAACGGGGAGAAGUAAAUCGUCCACAUCCGGCAGCAGGAGAGUGCGGAGACGACGGGACAGCGCGCGGAUCCGUGAGUCGAUGCCUGGAGGCUGAGCGAAGUGCUCCGUGGCCGGUUUAGAGCUUCCACACACACUCAGAUGUCUGGGCGGUUCAGAUAGAAGCGACCACAGCGACCCUCUCGUCCACUCACCCUCACCCCGUGCCCCGGGCCGAGGGGAAUAAACACUGAUCAGCAGUGCAUUACGCGGGCCGGGCUGGCUUCAUGAGUCUAACCACAAUGGACGGACACCAGUACUCACCGCAGGACCAGUGGUCACCGUACGGCAACAGCCCCGGCUACCCUAGCAGUUACGGCUCGACAGGCGAUCCCAUGCCUACGAGUGAAUGGUUUCCAUUUGCGCGAAAAUUGCGCUUUAUUGGAGCCAAUUACACACGCUUACGCUUGGAUAGUGAAUGAAGAACUCUGAACGCCAACUCGGCGCCACUAGAAUUAAUUCAGAC